CUGAAGGGGUAAGGGAAGGAGGUAGUGCCUGCAGGGAGAAUCUCAGCAUCCGGCAAGUACUGACCAAGGAUAUUUUGAACCUGAAACUAUUCUUCAACAAAUCUUAAAAUUCACUUCCACCCCCAGAAGAUAAGGUUGCUAAAUGUCUAUAGGUGUCUGGAAGUCCCCCUCCCCUGACAAAGGCAGUGUCCCCUUUGUGUGUGAUGGACUUCUCAGCCUUCAGCACCAGUUUUCCAUAGCUGGCAAGCUUUCCAUUUGAGUAGGAGCAGAAGCGAGUAUCUAAUAAACCGCUCAAUGGAUCCUGCCA
rnacentral:lncRNA from 1 species